GACGAACGCUGGCGGCGUGCUUAACACAUGCAAGUCGAACGGAAAGGCCCUGCUUUUGUGGGCUGCUCGGGUGGCGAACGGGUGCUUCACACGUGAGUAACCUACCCUUGACUUUGGGAUAACUUCAGGAAACUGGGGCUAAUACCGGAUAGGUGCUCCUGCUGCAUGGUGGGGGUUGGAGAGUUUCGGCGGGUGGGGAUGGAGUCGGGGCGUAUCAGCUUGUUGGGGGGGUAGUGGCUUACCAAGGCUUUGACGGGUAGCCGGCCUGAGAGGGUGACCGGCCACGUUGGGACGGAGAUGCGGCACAGACUCCAACGGGACGCAGCAGUGGGGAAUAGUGCACAAUGGGCGGAGGGCUGAUGUAGCAACGCCGCGUGCGGGAUGACGGCCUGCGGUUAGUAUUCCGCUGCCGCCUGUCACGAAGAGUUAGUGACGGUAAUGGGUAAAGAAGCACCGGCUAACUACGUG
rnacentral:rRNA from 1 species